UACACACGUGCUACAAUGGGUGGUACAAAGAGAAGCCAACUCGCGAGAGCGCGCCAAUCUCAAAAAGCCAAUCCUCAGUUCGGAUUGGAGUCUGCAACUCGACUCCAUGAAGUUGGAAUCGCUAGUAAUCGCGGAUCAGCAUGCCGCGGUGAAUACGUUCCCGGGCCUU
rnacentral:rRNA from 1 species